UGUGUGUCUUGCCUAAGAUUUACAGAUUUGCUUGACUGAGUUAGGUAGAGUUGUGUGUUUUGUCUAAGGUUUACAACAGAGGUUGACUGGUGGAGGUAGAGUUGUGUGUCUUGCCUAAGAUUUACAGAUUUGCUUGACUGAGUUAGGUAGAGUUGUGUGUUUUGUCUAAGGUUUACAACAGAGGUUGACUGGUGGAGGUAGAGUUGUGUGUCUUGCCUAAGAUUUACAGAUUUGCUUGACUGAGUUAGGUAGAGUUGUGUGUUUUGUCUAAGGUUUACAACAGAGAUUGACUGGUGGAGGUAGAGUUGUGUGUCUUGCCUAAUGUUUUUAGCUGAAAGGGAGAAAGGUUGAUGCAUAUAGAGUAUGAAGGCAUACGCUCAAGGUGCUUGAAGGUAGAUAUACUCUUUGAUAAUUCAAUUUGUGGGGG